rnacentral:lncRNA from 1 species
UGGGACUUCAAAUAAUUUAUAGUGACUGUAAAGGAAUGAGAAACCAAGGGAUUACAUUUCCUUUCAAAGCACGUUCACAUCUUACUUUAGGGCAAAGGUUUUAUUAAAAUCAAACCCCAGGACUUCCAAAAGAGUAUUUCAAGGUAUAUGGUGAAUGCUUCAGUCAUGGAAAUAUUUAUUUGAAGUACAAUUAACAGUCAGGAGGACACCCAGAGCUUUAGCACCUUAGAUUCUGGGCGAGGCUGCCUGAUCUCAAACAUGUUUUGAUUUGUUAUCUUCAGCAGGUUGCUAAGCCUUUUCAGCUCACGAGAAGAUUAUGAGGAUAAAACGAGUUAAUUUGGCUUGUAUCAGCCAGAAACCCAAGGUGGAUGUAAUGGUGAGUUUCCCAUCAGAAUAAUGACUGCCUUUUUCC